rnacentral:rRNA from 1 species
UACGUAGGAGACGAGCGUUGUCCGGAGUUACUGGGCGUAAAGGGUGCGCAGGUGGCCGCGCGCGUGGGGGGUGAAAUCGCCUGGCUUAACUGGGCGGGGGCCUUCCAGACGGCGUGGCUUGAGCAGCGGAGGGGGCGUGGAAUUCCGGGUGGAGCGGUGAAAUGCGUAGAUAUGUGGAGGAACACCAGUGGCGAAGGCGACUUUCUGGGCUGUAACUGACGCUGAGGCGCGAAAGCCAGGGGAGCAAACGGG